rnacentral:lncRNA from 1 species
AAAAUAAUAGGUGAAAUUGGUUUCUAAAGUUGAAAAGAUUAUAUUUGCUUUUGUUAAUGGGCCUUUUCCUUUUUUGUCAUAAAGUGGAGGGAAACUAAUGAAGAUGUACUUGAAAAGAUUUACAAUAAAAGACUUUUUUCACAUGGAGAAUAUGUUUUAACUUUGAGUUUUUUUUUUUUUUUGAAACUGUUAGGGUAGGGGAUAAUUUAGAUUUUUAA